GGGAGUGCGCUAACGAUGGAGAGUUAGGAUAGUCUGUAAAACUAUUGCCCCGGCUGAGCAGGUUCAAAUCCCGCCACUCCCA
rnacentral:tRNA from 1 species